rnacentral:lncRNA from 7 species
AAUGGCAAGUAUGAGUCUUUUGUCUACCUGAGUUUUGGAAGCCUAGGUGAAGGGAAUAUAGCCUGGAGUCUCCUUGCAGGUGUUGUGAUACCUAUGUGGUACUCUUGGGACAGGCUCUUUUAUGGCUACCUUCAAGGGGAAAAAAACUGCAAAGAUAGGAUGAAGAUAAUGGUAGCAAAAGCAAGACCAGAUCACCCCUGAAGACCAGUGGGAUCAGUGUGACUGUUUGAAGGUUAUGUUAUGGAUGCUGCAAAUACUCCUGUUUACAGAGACAUGUUUCCAGAAGUGACCAAAAAAGAGAAUGUUUGCCUCCAGCUCUCACUAAUGAGCUACAAAACUUUAAUAUUGAGGAGGAAAUACCUUUGAUUUGCUCAUUUGUCAGAUAAUAGCAUUCUCCUUUUAUUCACUUUGCUUAGUGCCAAGGUAGAGGAUUGUAAUUUGAUGUAAUGGGGGGUCCAGUGGUAUGUUGGUGGGUAAUACUGUAAUGUAGUUUCCUGCUACCACUUCACCCUGCUACAAUUUGCAUGGCUGAUGAGUUUCAGCACAGUUUGAAGCUAAUAUGAGGAGGCUGAGGUAGAAGGGAUGUGAACCGAAGGACCAUCAGGGGCUCUUAUGGAGAGGGAGAAGUUAUUAAAUAAGAGCAUUCUCUGAAUUGAGUGAUCAAAAAGUGGUAAUGAAGGGGGAUACUCCUAUGCAUUCUAAGAAAGGAGAAAGUGCAUAUAACUUAAGCAUUUUUAGCUAUGCAGUUCCAACUCCUGUUAAAUCAGAAAUGCAGUCUAAAUCGGUACUUAGCAGAAUUUUACCUUUAAGAAUGACUAUAUGACUUUAUCUUGUUCAGUAAAGAAACAAAGAGGGAAACUCUUGAUUGUUUUAUAUUGUAUGUGUUUUGGAGGAGUGAGCUUCCUGAAGAAACAAUAUUUCUUCCUGGACUGUGCCAUU